UACAGGGGGGGGCAAGCGUUGUUCGGAAUUACUGGGCGUAAAGCGCGUGUAGGCGGCCCUGCAAGUCGGAUGUGAAAUCCCACGGCUCAACCGUGGAAGUGCAUUCGAAAACUGCAGGGCUAGAGUCCUGGAGAGGAAGGUGGAAUGCUUGGUGUAGAGGUGAAAUUCGUAGAUAUCAAGCGGAACACCGGUGGCGAAGGCGGCCUUCUGGACAGUGACUGACGCUGAGACGCGAAAGCGUGGGGAAGCAACAGGG
rnacentral:rRNA from 1 species